rnacentral:rRNA from 1 species
AUGACUUGUGGCUGGGGGUGAAAGGCCAAUCAAACCGGGAGAUAGCUGGUUCUCCCCGAAAGCUAUUUAGGUAGCGCCUCGUGAAUUCAUCUCCGGGGGUAGAGCACUGUUUCGGCAAGGGGGUCAUCCCGACUUACCAACCCGAUGCAAACUGCGAAUACCGGAGAAUGUUAUCACGGGAGACACACGGCGGGUGCUAACGUCCGUCGUGAAGAGGGAAACAACCCAGACCGCCAGCUAAGGUCCCAAAGUCAUGGUUAAGUGGGAAACGAUGUGGGAAGGCCCAGACAGCCAGGAUGUUGGCUUAGAAGCAGCCAUCAUUUAAAGAAAGCGUAAUAGCUCACUGGUCGAGUCGGCCUGCGCGGAAGAUGUAACGGGGCUAAACCAUGCACCGAAGCUGCGGCAGCGACACUAAGUGUUGUUGGGUAGGGGAGCGUUCUGUAAGCCUGUGAAGGUGUACUGUGAGGUAUGCUGGAGGUAUCAGAAGUGCGAAUGCUGACAUAAGUAACGAUAAAGCGGGUGAAAAGCCCGCUCGCCGGAAGACCAAGGGUUCCUGUCCAACGUUAAUCGGGGCAGGGUGAGUCGACCCCUAAGGCGAGGCCGAAAGGCGUAGUCGAUGGGAAACAGGUUAAUAUUCCUGUACUUGGUGUUACUGCGAAGGGGGGACGGAGAAGGCUAUGUUGGCCGGGCGACGGUUGUCCCGGUUUAAGCGUGUAGGCUGGUUUUCCAGGCAAAUCCGGAAAAUCAAGGCUGAGGCGUGAUGACGAGGCACUACGGUGCUGAAGCAACAAAUGCCCUGCUUCCAGGAAAAGCCUCUAAGCAUCAGGUAACAUCAAAUCGUACCCCAAACCGACACAGGUGGUCAGGUAGAGAAUACCAAGGCGCUUGAGAGAACUCGGGUGAAGGAACUAGGCAAAAUGGUGCCGUAACUUCGGGAGAAGGCACGCUGAUAUGUAGGUGAAGCGACUUGCUCGUGGAGCUGAAAUCAGUCGAAGAUACCAGCUGGCUGCAACUGUUUAUUAAAAACACAGCACUGUGCAAACACGAAAGUGGACGUAUACGGUGUGACGCCUGCCCGGUGCCGGAAGGUUAAUUGAUGGGGUUAGCGCAAGCGAAGCUCUUGAUCGAAGCCCCGGUAAACGGCGGCCGUAACUAUAACGGUCCUAAGGUAGCGAAAUUCCUUGUCGGGUAAGUUCCGACCUGCACGAAUGGCGUAAUGAUGGCCAGGCUGUCUCCACCCGAGACUCAGUGAAAUUGAACUCGCUGUGAAGAUGCAGUGUACCCGCGGCAAGACGGAAAGACCCCGUGAACCUUUACUAUAGCUUGACACUGAACAUUGAGCCUUGAUGUGUAGGAUAGGUGGGAGGCUUUGAAGUGUGGACGCCAGUCUGCAUGGAGCCGACCUUGAAAUACCACCCUUUAAUGUUUGAUGUUCUAACGUUGGCCCCUGAUCGGGGUUGCGGACAGUGUCUGGUGGGUAGUUUGACUGGGGCGGUCUCCUCCUAAAGAGUAACGGAGGAGCACGAAGGUUGGCUAAUCCUGGUCGGACAUCAGGAGGUUAGUGCAAUGGCAUAAGCCAGCUUGACUGCGAGCGUGACGGCGCGAGCAGGUGCGAAAGCAGGUCAUAGUGAUCCGGUGGUUCUGAAUGGAAGGGCCAUCGCUCAACGGAUAAAAGGUACUCCGGGGAUAACAGGCUGAUACCGCCCAAGAGUUCAUAUCGACGGCGGUGUUUGGCACCUCGAUGUCGGCUCAUCACAUCCUGGGGCUGAAGUAGGUCCCAAGGGUAUGGCUGUUCGCCAUUUAAAGUGGUACGCGAGCUGGGUUUAGAACGUCGUGAGACAGUUCGGUCCCUAUCUGCCGUGGGCGCUGGAGAACUGAGGGGGGCUGCUCCUAGUACGAGAGGACCGGAGUGGACGCAUCACUGGUGUUCGGGUUGUCAUGCCAAUGGCACUGCCCGGUAGCUAAAUGCGGAAGAGAUAAGUGCUGAAAGCAUCUAAGCACGAAACUUGC